CCUUCGUUUUCUACUCUUCGAUCACUCUCUGCUAUCUGAUCCCUUCGUUUUAUACUCUUAUAUUUCAGCGAAGUUUCUUUCGAGAAAUGGCAGGCUAACCUAGUUUUGUUGUCGGUGAUGACGGCUUUACGAUCCCGGAGCCACAAAUCUUCUGCGUGCGAAGUUCCUUUCGAGAAAUGACAGGCAAAACCUAGUUGUCGUCGGUGAUGACGGAUUUACAAUCCCGGUGCCGUAAAUCUUCUGCGUGUGUUUUGUAUCUUGUAACAUGAGUGGUUAUAACUGAGGGUGAUGACAAAUAAUAUGUCAUUUCAUUUAAGCUUCUUCGAAAUCUGAACAGGUAAAUAUGCCUUUUUGGUUAGAUUGUUUAAACUAAUAGUCGGUUUUGAUAAAAUAAAAAAUCUUCGGUUCCAACCAAAAGGAAACUGAAUGUCAUAAAACUUAACCCUGUAGAAGAAUUACUGAAUGUCAUAAAACCGUACCCUGUAAAAGAAUUCGCACUUUUGAUUUGGUUCGGUUUUGGUACAUUUAAUACUGUGAGAGUAAUAUUCUAUGUCUAUAUGAUAAUAUAUAAAUUAUAUUCUAUUAAGUGUAA